GACGAACGCUGGCGGCGUGCUUAACACAUGCAAGUCGAACGUGAUUUUUAAGGAAAGCCCUUCGGGGAAGGAAUUAAAAUGAAAGUGGCGAACGGGUGAGUAACACGUGAGCAACCUACCUUACACAGGGGGAUAGCCGUUGGAAACGACGAUUAAUACCGCAUGAGACCACAGAAUCGCAUGAUAUAGGGGUCAAAGAUUUAUCGGUGUAAGAAGGGCUCGCGUCUGAUUAGCUAGUUGGAAGGGUAAAGGCCUACCAAGGCGACGAUCAGUAGCCGGUCUGAGAGGAUGAACGGCCACAUUGGAACUGAGACACGGUCCAAACUCCUACGGGAGGCAGCAGUGGGGAAUAUUGCACAAUGGGGGGAACCCUGAUGCAGCGACGCCGCGUGAGCGAAGAAGGUUUUCGAAUCGUAAAGCUCUGUCCUAUGAGAAGAUAAUGA
rnacentral:rRNA from 1 species